AAGUCGUAACAAGGUUUCCGUAGGUGAACCUGCGGAAGGAUCAUUACCAAUAUUAAUCCAAAUACUCUCAACCCAUGUGCACGAUUAAUUUUGUCUUUGUCUUUGGGGUAGCUUGUAUGCUUCGGCAUUUCGCUACUAGCAUCAUAUGGUUACCCCAAGCAUUGUUCAACCCUUUUUUAUUUUUUACUUGGCAUCUGUCUUGAUAUUAAAUCAAAUAAAGGACAACUUUUAACGGUGGAUCUCUUGGCUCGUG
rnacentral:misc_RNA from 1 species